rnacentral:rRNA from 1 species
AUGAACGCUAGCGGCAGGCUUAACACAUGCAAGUCGAGGGGUAACAGGUCUUUCGGGACGCUGACGACCGGCGCACGGGUGAGUAACGCGUAUGCAAUCUGCCUUCAGCUGGAGGAUAGCCCGGAGAAAUCCGGAUUAAUACUCUAAAUGCUAUCGGACGGCAUCGUCUGAUAUCUAAAGCUCCGGCGGCUGAUGAUGAGCAUGCGUGACAUUAGUUAGUUGGUGAGGUAACGGCUCACCAAGACUACGAUGUCUAUGGGGUCUUAAAGGAUGAUCCCACACACUGGUACUGAGACACGGACCAGACUCCUACGGGAGGCAGCAGUGAGGAAUAUUGGUCAAUGGGCGAAAGCCUGAACCAGCCAUGCCGCGUGAAGGAUGACGGCCCUACGGGUUGUAAACUUCUUUUGUACGGAAAGAACAAAGGCUACGUGUAGCCUCUUGACGGUACCGUACGUAUAAGCAUCGGCUAACUCCGUGCCAGCAGCCGCGGUAAUACGGAGGAUGCAAGCGUUAUCCGGAUUUAUUAGGUUUAAAGGGUGCGUAGGCGGAGUUUUAAGUCAGUGGUGAAAUCUUGUGGCUCAACCAUGAAACUGCCAUUGAUACUAUUGCUCUUGAAUGUAGUUGAGGUAGGCGGAAUGUGUAGUGUAGCGGUGAAAUGCUUAGAUAUUACACAGAACACCAAUUGCGAAGGCAGCUUACUAGACUAUGAUUGACGCUGAGGCACGAAAGCGUGGGGAGCGAACAGGAUUAGAUACCCUGGUAGUCCACGCUGUAAACGAUGAUCACUGGUUGUUGGCGAUACACUGUCAGCGACUGAGCGAAAGCAUUAAGUGAUCCACCUGGGGAGUACGUCGGCAACGAUGAAACUCAAAGGAAUUGACGGGGGCCCGCACAAGCGGAGGAACAUGUGGUUUAAUUCGAUGAUACGCGAGGAACCUUACCUGGGCUUAAAUGUGGCAUGACUGCUGUCGAAAGAUAGUUUCCCUUCGGGGCAAGUUACAAGGUGCUGCAUGGCUGUCGUCAGCUCGUGCCGUGAGGUGUCGGGUUAAGUCCCAUAACGAGCGCAACCCUUAUCGUUAGUUACCAGCGCGUAAAGGCGGGGACUCUAACGAGACUGCCACCGUAAGGUGUGAGGAUGGUGGGGAUGACGUCAAGUCAGCACGGCCCUUACGUCCAGGGCUACACACGUGUUACAAUGGCCAGUACAAAGGGCAGCUACCAGACGACUGGAUGCUAAUCUCCAAAACUGGUCUUAGUUCGGAUUGAAGUCUGCAACUCGACUUCAUGAAGUUGGAUUCGCUAGUAAUCGCGCAUCAGCCACGGCGCGGUGAUACGUUCCCGGGCCUUGUACACACCGCCCGUCAAGCCAUGGAAGCUGGGGGUACCUGAAGUCCGUAACC